CCCUUAGAUGUUCGGGGCCGCACGCGCGCUACACUGAAGGAAUCAGCACGUCUUUCUCCUUGUCCGAAAGGACUGGGUAACCCGCUGAACCUCCUUCGUGCUAGGGAUUGGGGCUUGUAAUUCUUCCCCAUGAACGAGGAAUUCCCGGUAAGCGCGAGUCAUAAGCUCGCGUUGAUUACGUCCCUGCCCUUUGUACACACCGCCCGUCGCUACUACCGAUUGGAUGGUUUAGUGAGAUCCUCGGAUUGGUCCCGGCGCGGCCUCUGGUCGUGCCGGAGUGCCGAAAAGAAUGUCGAACUUGAUCAUCUAGAGGAAGUAAAAGUCGUAACA
rnacentral:rRNA from 1 species